rnacentral:rRNA from 1 species
AAGUAGUUUAAGUUGUGUGCAAGUGGUAGGAGAGCGUUCUAUUUGCGUCGAAGGUAUACCGGUAAGGAGUGCUGGAGCGAAUAGAAGUGAGCAUGCAGGCAUGAGUAGCGAUAAUUAAUGUGAGAAUCAUUAACGCCGUAAACCCAAGGUUUCCUACGCGAUGCUCGUCAUCGUAGGGUUAGUCGGGUCCUAAGUCGAGUCCGAAAGGGGUAGACGAUGGCAAAUUGGUUAAUAUUCCAAUACCAACAUUAGUGUGCGAUGGAAGGACGCUUAGGGCUAAGGGGGCUAGCGGAUGGAAGUGCUAGUCUAAGGUCGUAGGAGGUUAUACAGGCAAAUCCGUAUAACAAUACUCCGAGAACUGAAAGGCUUUUUGAAGUCUUCGGAUGGAUAGAAGAACCCCUGAUGCCGUCGAGCCAAGAAAAGUUUCUAAGUUUAGCUAAUGUUGCCCGUACCGUAAACCGACACAGGUGGGUGGGAUGAGUAUUCUAAGGCGCGUGGAAGAACUCUCUUUAAGGAACUCUGCAAAAUAGCACCGUAUCUUCGGUAUAAGGUGUGGUUAGCUUCGUACUAGGAUUUACUCCGAAAGCGAAGAAACUUACAACAAAGAGUCCCUCCCGACUGUUUACCAAAAACACAGCACUCUGCUAACUCGUAAGAGGAUGUAUAGGGUGUGACGCCUGCCCGGUGCUCGAAGGUUAAUUGAUGGGGUUAGCAUUAGCGAAGCUCUUGAUCGAAGCCCGAGUAAACGGCGGCCGUAACUAUAACGGUCCUAAGGUAGCGAAAUUCCUUGUCGGUUAAAUACCGACCUGCAUGAAUGGCGUAACGAGAUGGGAGCUGUCUCAAAGAGGGAUCCAGUGAAAUUGUAGUGGAGGUGAAAAUUCCUCCUACCCGCGGCAAGACGGAAAGACCCCGUGGACCUUUACUACAGCUUGACACUGCUACUUGGAUAAGAAUGUGCAGGAUAGGUGGGAGGCUUUGAGUAUAUGACGCCAGUUGUAUAUGAGCCAUUGUUGAGAUACCACUCUUUCUUAUUUGGGUAGCUAACCAGCUUGAGUUAUCCUCAAGUGGGACAAUGUCUGGUGGGUAGUUUGACUGGGGCGGUCGCCUCCCAAAUAAUAACGGAGGCUUACAAAGGUUGGCU